rnacentral:rRNA from 1 species
UACAGAGGGUGCGAGCGUUGUCCGGAAUCACUGGGCGUAAAGGGCGCGUAGGCGGUCUCUUAAGCGUGUUGUGAAAGCCCGGGGCUCAACUCCGGGUCGGCCGUGCGAACUGGGGGACUGGAGCUUGUCAGAGGCAGGCGGAAUUCCGGGUGUAGCGGUGGAAUGCGUAGAGAUCCGGAAGAACACCGGUGGCGAAGGCGGCCUGCUGGGACAGUGCUGACGCUGAGGCGCGACAGCGUGGGGAGCAAACAGG